rnacentral:sRNA from 1 species
UAUCUGGAUAUUUAAGCAUGA